AUGCUGUGUCUGAAGAUUGUUAAAGUCGUGACCCAGACAGCCCUCCGCAUUCUCCUACCAGCGCUAGCUCGUAUCAUGGGGGUGAACCUGAGGAGUGGGGCAACCUCCCCAGAAUCCCAGUGCUCUCUGACAGGGUCUGAGGAUUCCUUAGGCGGUCUGGAUGAGAGAGAGAAAAGGCUGCUGAUCAGUGAGAUGAACUACUGGACUAAGGAGAGGAGGAGGAAUGGCAGUGCAGGAUGCCGCCAAAAAUCCACUCGCAGGACCUCAUCACCAUGCUGUUCGCCUAAGAGCGUUCCAAGAGAGGAAACAAAAAGGACUGCCAUUCAGUCCAAGACCAUACUGAGAUUCCCUCUACUGAUAGACAUUGCAUAGGUAAGGAUGUUUUAGAGCUCUGCUAUAGCUUGUAGUUUUGUUUAGGUGUGUGUUAGAAACAUAGGAAUGCCUAUCAAACUCAUAGCACUUGUUAUUUUUCAACGUUACUAUACUGAAUCUCUCUCUCUCUCUCUCUCUCUCUCUCUCUCUCUCUCUUACCCCAUCCAUUUCUCUUGUGUUUCUAGCUCCAAUUGGAGAGGUUUCUCCCUCCAUAUCUCAGCCUGUCAAAAAACGAUCCUUGAUUGUCAGGGUCUUUUCAGCAAUGAUGAAGCCAUUCAGGCGCUUCACCAAGAAGAACCUGUAACCUGUUACGCUGCAUGAAGAACUACUUUUGUAACAGCAAGACUUUUGACAAGAGGAAUUUCUGCAUGUCUAACCUUUCAAAGUCUAUUUGAUCAAAUAAAUGCCAAUGAUUUUACAAGAAAUUCAAAUGUUUUCGAAGAUUGAUAAUACUGAAGCAGAUUUUCUCAGAGAAAUGCACUAGUUCCCCCUUGGUUACACAUUUAUUGUUCAGCUUUUGAGUUGGCAGGACUUCAGGCGUCAGGUAGCCUUGUGGUUAGAGCAUUGGGCCAGUAACCAAAAAGUUGCUAGCGUCAGAUCCCUGAGCUGGCCAUGUAAAAAUAUGUUGUUAUGCUCCUGAACAAGGUAGUUAACCCACUGUUCCUAAGCUGUCAUUGUAAAUAAGAAUUUGUUCUGAACUGACUUGUCUAGGAAAAUAAAUAAAAUAACCACAGCUUGACUCUAAUACAAUAGUUGCUGCAUAGACUGUCAGAUAACCAGAUGUUCUCUAUUAAUUUAGUUAGAUUGGUAAGAGCUUAUUAGCAGCAAGGGGAAAACACAUAGAUGAGAAUUAGCUAUCUGCAGCUAGAUCAACCCUCUGAGAUGCUUUCUACAUUUUUUUUCUAUAUUUUUUUAUUUCACCUUUAUUUAACCAGGUAGGCAAGUUGAUUUACAAUUGCGACCUGGCCAAGAUAAAGCAAAGCAGUUCGACACAUACAACGACACAGAGUUACACAUGGAGUAAAACAAACAUACAGUCAAUAAUACAGUUUAAACAAGUCUAUAUACGAUGUGAGCAAAUAAGGUGAGAUAAGGGAGGUAAAGGCAAAAAAAGGCCAUGGUGGCAAAGUAAAUACAAUAUAGCAAGUAAAACACUGGAAUGGUAGAUUUGCAUUGGAAGAAUGUGCAAAGUAGAAGUAAAAAAUAAUGGGGUGCAAAGGAGCUAAAUAAAUAAAUAAAAUAAAUACAGUAGGGAAAGAGGUAGUUGAUUGGGCUAAAUUAUAGGUGGGCUAUGUACAGGUGCAGUAAUCUGUGAGCUGCUCUGACAGUUGGUGCUUAAAGCUAGUGAGGGAGAUAAGUGUUUCCAGUUUCAGAGAUUUUUGUAGUUCGUUCCAGUCAUUGGCAGCAGAGAACUGGAAGGAGAGGUGGCCAAAGAAAGAAUUGGUUUUGGGGGUGACCAGAGAGAUAUACCUGCUGGAGCGCGUGCUACAAGUGGGUGAUGCUAUGGUGACCAGCGAGCUGAGAUAAGGGGGGACUUUACCUAGCAGGGUCUUGUAGAUGACAUGGAGCCAGUGGGUUUGGCGACGAGUAUGAAGCGAGGGCCAGCCAAUGAGAGCGUACAGGUCGCAAUGAUGGGUAGUAUAUGGGGCUUUGGUGACAAAACGGAUUGCACUUUGAUAGACUGCAUCCAAUUUGUUGAGUAGGGUAUUGGAGGCUAUUUUGUAACUGACAUCGCCAAAGUCGAGGAUUGGUAGGAUGGUCAGUUUUACAAGGGUAUGUUUGGCAGCAUGAGUGAAGGAUGCUUUGUUGCGAAAUAGGAAGCCAAUUCUAGAUUUAACUUUGGAUUGGAGAUGUUUGAUGUGGGUCUGGAAGGAGAGUUUACAGUCUAACCAGACACCUAGGUAUUUGUUGUUGUCCACGUAUUCUAAGUCAGAGCCGUCCAGAGUAGUGAUGUUGGACAGGCGGGCAGGUGCAGGCAGCGAUCGGUUGAAGAGCAUGCAUUUAGUUUUACUUGUAUUUAAGAGCAAUUGGAGGCCACGGAAGGAGAGUUGUAUGGCAUUGAAGCUUGCCUGGAGGGUUGUUAACACAGUGUCCAAAGAAGGGCCAGAGACUCACCAGCAGCAAGAGCGACAUCACUGAUGUAUACAGAGAAGAGAGUCGGUCCAAGAAAAUAACCCUGUGGCACCCCCAUAGAGACUGCCAGAGGUCCGGACAGCAGACCCUCCGAUUUGACACACUGAACUCUAUCAGAGAAGUAGUUGGUGAACCAGGCGAGGCAAUCAUUUGAGAAACCAAGGCUGUCGAGUCUGACGAUGAGGAUGUGGUGAUUGACAGAGUCGAAAGCCUUGGCCAGAUCAAUGAAUGCGGCUGCACAGUAAUGUUUCUUAUCGAUGGCGGUUAAGAUAUCGUUUAGGACCUUGAGCGUGGCUGAGGUGCACCCAUGACCAGCUCUGAAACCAGAUUGCAUAGCAGAGAAGGUAUGGUGAGAUUCUAUUGUUUUCAUACUGUUUUUAUUUAUUUACUUUUCUGCUCUUUUGCUCACCAGUAUCUUUACCUGCACAUGACCAGCUGAUCAUUUAUCACUCCAGUGUUAAUCUGCUAAAUUGUAAUUAUUCGCCUACCUCCUCAUGCCUUUUGCACACAAUGUAUAUAGACUCUUUUUUUCUUUUUUUUCUACUGUGUUAUUGACUUGUUUAUUGUUUACUCCAUGUGUAACUCUGUGUUGUUGUCUGUUCACACUGCUAUGCUUUAUCUUGGCCAGGUUGCAGUUGUAAAUGAGAAUUUAAUCUCAACUAGCCUACCUGGUUAAAUAAAGGUGAAAUAAAAUAAAAAUAAAAAUCAGGCACUUUUUUUCAGAAAACCGAUGGCAGCGUCUAUCAUUGCUCUUCUACCAUCUAUCCCAUGUCUGCACCUCCCUCUUCCAUCAAAAACAAAUUAUCUGGUUAAAGUUAGUUAGGCUAGGGGUUAGGGUUAGGGUUAAGGUUAAAGUUAAGUUUAGGAGUUAGGUUAAAGGGUUAAGGUUAGAGUUAGGGGAAGGGUUAGCUAUAAGGGUUAGGGGAAGGGUUAGCUAACAUGCUAAGUAGUUACAAAGUAGCUAAAAAGUGGUAAGUAGUUGAAAGUUUGCUAAUUAGCUAAAGUUGUCUGUGAUGAGAUUCAAAAUCAUAACCUUUGGAUCGUUAGACAUCCGUGUUAUACUGUAUGCCCACCCCUCCACCCUGACCAACCACCCUACUUUCGUUUUUGCCUUAAAUAACCAUUUGUCUUAUAUAACCAUACCAAACAUAACAUAUUAUACUAAUUUGAGUGUCCCGGAAUUACAUUUACUAUGUUACGUCUAGUCUAUGAGAUCAGGCUGAUCACAGGCAUGAACAGAGUAACAGGUCAUUGUAGUUAUGAGUGUGAGUGUUAGAGAGGGAUUUGAGGAUUUCACUGUGGGUCAAUGCAGAGCUAAGCAUGAAGGAUUUUUGUGGCAUGACAUAAAACCAGAAACCACAGCACAGAGGAAACCUCUGAGGGUCAUAAUGGCUGGUCCCAUUAAACCUGGG
rnacentral:lncRNA from 1 species